rnacentral:lncRNA from 1 species
UUAUGUUCAUUCACGGGUUUAUACUCACGUUUUUAAACUUCAUGUUUUAGGUUUUCUGAGUUAAAGGUGAUUGGAUGCUAGGACAAAGUGCUUCUCCUUAUCCAUUGCCCGGUAGUUUUGUCAUGAUACUAAGUGUUAGCACCCACGCCCAGGGUCACUCUGCUGACGGUCAGAGUCUUUGAAUGUGUACUUGUAAACUAGAUGUAACUUGCUA